GAUGAACGCUGGCGGCGUGCUUAACACAUGCAAGUCGAACGGAAAGGCCCUGCUUUUGUGGGGUGCUCGAGUGGCGAACGGGUGAGUAACACGUGAGUAACCUGCCCUUGACUUUGGGAUAACUUCAGGAAACUGGGGCUAAUACCGGAUAGGAGCUCCUGCUGCAUGGUGGGGGUUGGAGAGUGUCGGCUGUUGGGGAUGUACUCGCGGCUUAUCAGCUUGUUGGUGGGGUAGUGGCUUACCAAGGGUUUGACGGGUAGCCGGCCUGAGAGGGUGACCGGCCACAAUGGGACUGAGAGAGGGACCAGACGCGUACGGGAGGCAACAGUGGGGAAUAUUGCGGAAUGGGGGGGAGCCAGAGACGACGACGCCGCGUGCGGGAUGACGGGCUUCGAGUUGUAAACAGAUGUGGCCGGAGACGAAGAGUGAGUGACGGUAAUGGGUAAAGAAGCACCGGCUAACUACGUG
rnacentral:rRNA from 1 species